rnacentral:rRNA from 1 species
CCUACGGGUGGCAGCAGUGGGGAAUAUUGCACAAUGGGGGAAACCCUGAUGCAGCGACGCCGCGUGAGUGAAGAAGUAUUUCGGUAUGUAAACCUCUUUCAGCAGGGAAGAAAAUGACGGUACCUGACCAAGAAGCACCGGCUAACUACGUGCCAGCAGCCGCGGUAAUACGUAGGGGGCAAGCGUUAUCCGGAUUUACUGGGCGUAAAGGGCGCGUAGACGGCAGGGCAAGUCCGGUGUGAAAGGCGGGGGCUCAACCCCAGGACUGCUUUGGAAACUGCCAGUCUGGAGUGCAGGAGAGGUAAGUGGAAUUCCUGGUGUAGCGGUGAAAUGCGUAGAUAUUAGGAGGAACACCAGUGGCGAAGGCGGCUUACUGGACUGUAACUGACGUUGAGGCUCGAAAGCGUGGGGAGCAAACAGGAUUAGAUACCCCAGUAGUC